UACGUAGGGGGCAAGCGUUGUCCGGAAUUAUUGGGCGUAAAGAGCUCGUAGGCGGCUUGUCACGUCGGCUGUGAAAACCCGGGGCUCAACUCCGGGCCUGCAGUCGAUACGGGCUGGCUUGAGUGCGGUAGGGGAGACUGGAAUUCCUGGUGUAGCGGUGAAAUGCGCAGAUAUCAGGAGGAACACCGAUUGCGAAGGCAGCUCGCUGGGACGUAACUGACGCUGAGACGCGAAAGCGUGGGGAGCAAACAGG
rnacentral:rRNA from 1 species